rnacentral:vault_RNA from 1 species
GCGCUGGUUUAGCUCAGUGGUUACUUCGUUUGCAAUGGUCGCCAACAUACAUCCCUUCGCGGGAUCGAACCGCGGGCGCUGUCCAGUGCUUUU